AAGAGGUUGUUAUUUAUAUUUGGAAGAAAGUAUUCUUGAAUAACGUUACUGUUUAAUUUAUACGUUCAUAAGAUUAAUUAAGAGAUUAAAGUCGAUUUUCUCGAGAAAUUAUUGAACAAACAUAUCUUUUUCCUAGAUCAUUAUAUUUACUUCGAUAUUAUCUAUGAUAGAGUGUAGAAAGUGCCAUUUAGUAAGCAGAAGAAGUUGCUAGCUAGGUUACGAUUGGAAGUUCAUUCAAUUCAUCAAGAACACACUUCUACAUCUUCUACAUCUUCAAGUUUUUGAAAAAUAAGACUAGUGAAGUCUGAUCAAGUGUAUUCAAAUAAGACUGCAAAUUGUAUAAGCUAUAAGCAAUAUUUUAAGUCGGAUAAAUAGAGAGAUAAUGAAAAGAAUGGGAUCACGACUUCGAUGGAGAAAAGAAAACCUGUUUGAGAAAUUGUUUUUCGAUAGAAAGAUUAUUGAGGGUUGUUUCUCAAAUAGUACCAUUUACGAAGUAUUAGAAUCUCAUGAUCAAGCCAUACGAUUAAACAAAUGUAAUCUAAAUGUUAUCAAAAAAGGAUUAUUUGGAGAAGUAGAAAUGAUGGAAGUACCGAUAAAAGAGCGCAAAGAAGAAAUAGCCUUUGAGAAUAUCAACAAUCCCACACCAAUCCAGAAAUUUUACUAUGAUGAAAGUAUAUUCAUGAUCAAAUGAACAGGAUUUAUUGAAAAAUUCUUGAUCGAGAAAUCAUUGAGAACAGAUCCUGAUACAAAUCACAUUUAUCUUCUAAUACUUUCAAAAAAGGAGGAGUGAGUUGUUUACUUGUGAUCCAAUUAUUAUUUUUAUAUUUUUACUUCAUCCUGAUUCAACUUAGAGGUUUUCUAUUUUCUUAUAAUUUAUAUUUCCUUGGUAGGCAGUAAAAAAGAAUAACUCAAAUUUCGUAUUUGUUUUAUAGAAAAGCACUUAUAUAAUAUUUGGAUAUAUGAUGUUAACCAGACUUUAGAUUAUAUUAUAGAAAUUCAUAACAUAUAUCUUGUCUCAUAGAAGUUAAAAAAUAUGUCAUACUCAUUUUAAAACACUGUUCUUUUUUUUUUAAUAACAUUAUUUUUAUCUAAAUUUUCAACUUGACUUGACUUUAUUUGAUCAAAAAU